UGUCGGUAAAACUCGUGCCAGCCACCGCGGUUAUACGAGAGACCCUAAUUGAUAGAUACGGCGUAAAGAGUGGUUUAGGACAAGAACAAAUAAAGCCAAAGAUCCUCCUGGCUGUAGCACGCACUCCGAGGACACGAAGACCCACACGAAAGUAGCUUUAAUUAUAUUUUCCUGACCCCACGAAAGCUAAUAAACAAACUGGGAUUAGAUACCCCACUAUGGA
rnacentral:rRNA from 1 species